GCCGAUAAAGGUAAACCCGGGGAAACCCGGGGACACAAAGCCAACAGGCCUACGUUGUCGCAAAACCGGGAAGGCCCUCAACCCCCCGUGGGGUGGGCAUAAAAUGACUAACUGGUGGGAAUAGAGACAAUAGGGCGGCUGGGUUGCCGAAG
rnacentral:ncRNA from 1 species